UCUCAGAGAAAACAUCUUUGAUGCACUGGAUCGUCUCUCUCCAAGCCUGAUGGAGCUCUUUAGGAAGAAGAAAGGCCUUACUGGUCAGCUUUUGGCUGAGCUUUUACGUCAGACAAAGACCACCGAGCCAACAGACAUCAGGUGACUUUGUCUUCAGGGACUGCCAGUCAUCAUGGGAGAUGAUCCUUCUGCCUUCUUCAAGACUUGCUCCAUAAGAUGCAACUGACAAGGACUUGUACAGUCAAACUCCUAUGGGAAUCCUCUCCAUUGAUGAAGGAAACCCUCAGUUGAACCCAUCCUGAGUGGGAAUCGUCUUGGAAGGGAGUGUGGUGAUGGAUGAGCUCGCCAUCCUUCCUCAGGCCUUCUGUGCCUUUUUUGGACUGAUCUACGCCCUGCACCUGGAUUAUCCCAAGUACAUUAAAAACACUUCAUACUUUGCCCAACAGGUAAUGCUCAACCUGGUCAAAAGUCAGCUGGCACCAAAAAUUCAGACUCUGAAAAACCAGCUUGCAGUGUGAAGUGGGUUUACUGUUCAGGAUAUCAGGUGCUUAGUUUUCAAUGUUGCACUUUUAGAAAAACAUGUUUGCAGUGGUUGUACUUCAUGUCUUAUGGUAUUGGCACUGAUAUCGUGGUUUGAUCCCGUUCUGAUUCAGUAGUUCACAAGGUAGGGCAGUUGUCUCCUGACCAGCAAGUUGGUGGUUUGACUUCCGG